rnacentral:lncRNA from 1 species
GUCCUGUUACAAAACUUUGAAUUUUUCAAAAAACUAAGGAUUUUCUUAUCCCAGGCAUAGAUUACCUUAGCCGUAUUUGGCACAACUUUUUUGAAUUUUGGAUCCUCAAUGCUCUUCAACUUUGUACUUGUUUGGCUUUAUAAAUAUUUUGAUAUGAGCGUCACUGAUGAUUCUUAUGAAGACGAAACGUGCGUCUGGCGUACUAAAUUAUAAUCCUGGUACCUUUGAUAACUACAAUUACCAUAUGGUUACAAGGUAUAUUUGUGUACGACUGAUAUAAUUGAUUACCACAGACCUAUAAUUAAUAACUCAAAUAACUCAUUUAAGAUUGCUAACACUCUUUAUAUUAUAUAUCAUUGAUAUGGUUGAUCAAGUUAGAUAAGCAAAUAUCAACUCAAUUGACAUUGUAAAA